GGGGCCUGCCCUGCCGUAAGGCAGUCUUCAGGGUAAGAAACGGCUCAGGACUGUACUAUCCGCCCUUUCCAUCUCUUCCACCAAAAAUACUUGCGUUGGCGCCCAGCUUCACUCUGUGUCUCCCUGGUUGCACAUAGCCACCUGACCAAGGCAGGAACUGCAACCACAACUCAGCAAAGAACUUUCUUGACAUUACCGUUACUAUCGCAUAGAAUGAGAAUGCUUUUGCCUCAAUUCUCCACUUUCGUUGCCUAGAUUUUGACAGCUGUGACCAGAAAGCCAACAUUAUACAGCUAACGUGAUCGUGUUAAGAAAAGUGAAGGCCAGCCCAGCAAAUCAACUUCUUGGAAGGCUAGUGUGGUGAAGUUUAUCAGUAUGAUGUCUGCGCACCUUGACAAGGAGAUGGGAAAAGUCUGGAGUCUUUCCCAAGAGGAAAGACUUAAGGAGACUGACAUCAGGGACUCCCAUACUCAACAGCUCAGGAGGCUCACCUUACAGUAGGGCUCACAUUUCCUGCCCACACACUUCAAGCAUUUUAUCUCCUACUUGGAAUUCUUGGCAGCAAUCAAAUAUCACCUGACAUCUGAGGAAAACUUCUAAGAGAAAAGACGGACCCAAACAAACAGAAGAAAACACGGAAGAAACUGGGAUGAUACAGGAAGAAGAAAACUUGGAUAGAAGACUAAAAAAGAUGGAACGUUCUGAGUUCAGAGUAAUAUUUUUUUCCCUUAAAUUUACUAUGCUAACAGGGAUGGCGAAAGUUGAGGAAAACUAUUCAGAAAAUAGCAAGCCCCCCCCCCCCAAAAAGAUAAAAUUUAAAAGGAGGUCUAGGAGUUCUCUUGUGACACAGUGGGUUAAGGAUCUGGUGUUGUCAUUGCAACAGCUUGAGUCACUGCUAUGGUGCAGGUUUGAUCUCUGGCUUGGGAAUUACAACAUGCCAUUGGGCACUGUCAAAAAAUAAAUAAGUAAAUAAAUAAAAGGAGGUCUACUAUCUGAUUACUAGCAGUUGUAAAAAGAAAGGGACAAACAAAAAAGGAAAUACUUUCAAUAAAACAAUUUAAGGGAGUUCCCAUGAUGGCUCAGUGGUAACAAACCCAACUUGUAUCCAGGAAGAUGCAGGUUUGAUCCCUGGCCUCCCUCAUUGGGUUAAGGAUCCGGCGUUGCCAUGAGCUGUGGUGUAGGUUGCAGUCGUGGCUUGGAUCCCAGGUUGCUGUGGCUGUGGUGUAGGCCAGCGGCUAUAGCUCCAAUUCAGCCCCUUGUCUAGGAACCUCCAUAUGCCACUGGUGCGGCCCUAAAAAGAAAAAGAAAACAACAACAACAACAACAACAACAACAAAAAACCAAGCAAUUCAAGAACCUUUUUCACAAGUGAAGGUCAUGAUUUUCUGAGUUUAAAGAGCCUAUCAAUUGCCCAACGCACUGGAUGAACGUCUCCAAAAAUAUCAUCAUGUUACUUCAGAACACAGGUACAACUUCUAGAAUAGACAGGUCUUAUGUAAAGGACCAGGUAUGAGAAUGCUUGGGAAUUCUCAACAGCAACAUUGGAAGCUAAAAAGAAUAACACUGGAAACUAGGAUUUCAAAAUUCUGAGGGAAAAAAAUGCUUUCUAACCCAUUAUUUUAUAUGGAGACUUUAUAUGUUGAAGGGUGAUGACAGAUGAAGAACAUUUUUUGGAUAGGCAAGUUCUCAAUGAACUACCUUCUGGUCCUUGCACCCUUUCUCAGGAAACUACUGAUGGGGUAAGAUCCCAGGAUGACAACCCAUUUCAAGAUGAGUAUGGCUGGUUCAGACUAAAGUACACAGGGCCUGAGAGCAGCUUCUAAGGUAAGAUAUAACCAAGGACCACCCGAGGUGUCUCGAGUAUCACUGGGGAUUGAAUUAAUGAUUAAGAAAAAAACAAGAUGGAAUUCCCGUCGUGGCUCAGUGGUUAACGAAUCCAGCUAGGAACCAUGAGGUUGCGGGUUCGGUCCCUGCCCUUGCUCAGUGGGUUAAUGAGCUGUGGUGUAGGUUGCAGAUGUGGCUCGGAUCCCUCGUUGCUGUGGCUCUGGCGUAGGCCGGUGGCUACAGCUCCGAUUCGACCCCUAGCCUGGGAACCUCCAUAUGCCUCGGGAGCAGCCCAAGAAAUAGAAAAAAGAAAAAAAACAAAACAAAACAAAAAAAAAAA
rnacentral:lncRNA from 1 species